rnacentral:rRNA from 1 species
GAUGAACGCUGGCGGCGUGCCUAAUACAUGCAAGUCGAGCGAACGGACGAGAAGCUUGCUUUUCUGAUGUUAGCGGCGGACGGGUGAGUAACACGUGAAUAACCUACCUAUAAGACCGGGAUAACUUCGGGAAACCGGAGCUAAUACCGGAUAAUAUUUUGAACCGCAUGGUUCAAAAGUGAAAGACGGUCUUGCUGUCACUUAUAGAUGGAUCCGCGCUGCAUUAGCUAGUUGGUAAGGUAACGGCUUACCAAGGCAACGAUGCAUAGCCGACCUGAGAGGGUGAUCGGCCACACUGGAACUGAGACACGGUCCAGACUCCUACGGGAGGCAGCAGUAGGGAAUCUUCCGCAAUGGGCGAAAGCCUGACGGAGCAACGCCGCGUGAGUGAUGAAGGUCUUCGGAUCGUAAAACUCUGUUAUUAGGGAAGAACAUAUGUGUAAGUAACUGUGCACAUCUUGACGGUACCUAAUCAGAAAGCCACGGCUAACUACGUG